rnacentral:rRNA from 1 species
AUUGAACGCUGGCGGCAUGCUUUACACAUGCAAGUCGAACGGUAACAGGCCUUCGGGUGCUGACGAGUGGCGAACGGGUGCGUAAUUCUUAGGAACGUGUCCAGUGGCGGGGGGUCACGGAGCGAAAGCUGUGCUCAUACCUCAUGCGAUCUGAUGUUGAAAGCGGGGUGCCAAGCUGCAAUGUUUGGCCUUUGCUCUCUGGUACAGCCGAUGUCAGAUUAGGUAGUUGGUGGGGUAAAGGCCUACCAAGCCGACGAUCUGUAGCUGAUCUGAGAGGACGACCGGCCACACUGGAACUGAGACACGGCCCAGACUCCUACGGGAGGCAGCAGUGGGGAAUUUUCGGCAAUGGGCGAAAGCCUGAUCCAGCAAUGCCGCGUGCGUGAAGAAGGCCUUCGGGCUGUAAACCGCUUUUGUACGGAACGAAAAGACGCUGGCUAAUACCUGGAGCUGAUGACGGUACCGUAAGAGUAAGCACCGGCUAACUACGUG